GACGAACGCUGGCGGCGUGCUUAACACAUGCAAGUCGAGCGGUAAGGCUCCUUCGGGAGUACACGAGCGGCGAACGGGUGAGUAACACGUGAGCAAUCUGCCCUUCACUUCGGGAUAACUCCGGGAAACCGGUGCUAAUACCGAAUACGACCACUUCAGGCAUCUGAUGGUGGUGGAAAGUUCCGGCGGUGAAGGAUGAGCUCGCGGCCUAUCAGCUUGUUGGUGAGGUAANGGCCCACCAAGGCAACGACGGGUAGCCGGCCUGAGAGGGUGACCGGCCACACUGGGACUGAGGCACGGCCCAGACUCCUACGGGAGGCAGCAGUGGGGAAGUAUUGGACAAUGGGCGAAAGCCUGAUCCAGCAACGCCGCGUGAGGGA
rnacentral:rRNA from 1 species